ensembl:lncRNA
CCAGAUGGAACGAACACAAACAGGUUUUGUUCGGGGUGAGAGGGGUCGGCCACCAUCUUUUUAGCUGCUUCAGUGAUUUGUAAAACACUAAAGACACUUGUAUAUAUUAUAGACACCACACAAGUUGAUUUCUGGAAUUAGUCAACAUGGAGAUUCACAACAACAAACAAAAAGUACAAAAAAAAUAGUAAAAAAAUCUUAAUCUAAAGAAAGGCAAGGCAAGGCAAUUUUAUUUGCAUAGCGCUUUUCAUACACAAGGCAGACUCAAAGUGCUUCACAUUAUAACAUUUCAUACAAUAAAGUGAAAUAAAAUGCAGGAAUUAAAAGACAAUUAAAAACAGCAAAUACAAUUAUAAAUUAAAAUGUUAUUUAAAUUGUUUAAUUAAAGGCAGAGGUUAAAGUGCAAUGUAGGUAAAAUUUAGCAGAAGGCGAAGCUGAACAUGAAAGUUGUCAGUCUCGUUUUAAACGUGGUCAGAGUUGGGGCAAGUCUUAAAUCUUCAGGAAGUUUAUUCCCAGCUGUUUGUUGCGUAGUAACUAAAUGAUGCUUUCCCAUGAUUUGUAUUUACUCUGGGAGUCGCUAACAGAUUUAGUUCUGAACAAGCUGGAGCUGCCUGACAGUUUCUUUUGGACGACCUGCAGGGAGACCAUUACAAUAGUCCAGCCUACUAGUUAUAAAGGCAAGUACAAGUGUUUCUAAGUCUUGAGCUGACAUGAGCCCUCUAAAUCGUGCUACAUUUUUGAGGUGGUAGUAGGCCGAUUUUGUUACUGAUUUGAUGUGACUCUCCAAGUGUAAAUCUGAAUCCAUAAUAACCCCCAGAUUUCUGGCUUUAUUUGAUGUUUUCAGGGACAGAGAGUGAAGGUGUUGGGUUACUUUAAACCUUUCUCUUUUAGCACCAAAUACAAUAAUCUCAGUUUUGUCUUCAUUUAGUUGUAGGAAAUUUUAACACAUGCAGUCUUUGAUUUGCUCAAUGCACUGGCACAGAAGAUCUAUGGGGCGAUAGUCGUUUGGUGAUAGCGCUACAUAGAUUUGGGUGUCAUCAGCGUAGCAAUGGUGGUCACUUUUAUUUCUUUGCAUGAUUUGUCCUAGUGGGAGCAUGUAGAUGUUGAAUAAAGUCGGCCCUGAGAUCGAACCUUGGGGGACUCCACACGUUACGUCGGUUGUUUCUGAUACAAAGUCACCAAUGGAAACAAAAUAGUUCCUGUCUUGUAGAUAUGACCUGAACCAGCUUAAGACUGUGCCUGAGAGCCCCACCCAGUUUUCCAACCUGUCCAAAAGUAUUGAGUGGUCGACAGUAUCAAAUGCAGCACUGAGGUCUAAUAGCAUUAAUAUUGAAGUUUUGCCAGAGUCUGUGUUAAGACGGAUGUCAUUUACUACUUUAAUAAGGGCCGUCUCGGUGCUAUGAAGAGGUCGAAUUCCUGACUGGAAGUUGUCGUGGCAGCCAGUUGAAGCCAGGAAGUGAUUAAGUUGUUGUAGGACAACUUUCUCAAUUAUUUUACUUAUGAAAGGCAGAUUUGACAUUGGUCUGUAGUUGUUGAUAAUAGAGGCAUCUAGGCUCCUCUUUUUUAGGAGAGGUUUAAUAACUGCAGUUUUGAUAGCUUUUGGGAAAUGGCCUGUCUGAAUAGAGUUAUUAACUAUUUGCAAUACGUCUGUUGCUAGACAGCCAAAAACAUUCUUAAAGAAGUUGGUACUCAUUGCAUUUCUGUGUGGAAUGGAGUUCAGGUGGUAUUUGUGUCGGGGGGUUGGUCAGUCGGUCAACAGUUUCAAACAGGGUUUUUGCCUUUAGUGUUGUUGUUAAUGAUGUUGGAGAAGAAUGUUUCCCUAGCAAGUUUAAGUCUAAAUUGUAGGCCCGGAGGCGCUCUUUAUAGAUGUCAUGGUGAAUAUGAAGUUUUGUAUUCCGCCAGAAAUAAACGUUGUCUCUUAAUGUAGCUCGAUCUGGCCUCCUCCUCCUCCUCCUCCUCCUCUGGGAUUCCUCCUCCUCCUCACCCUUCCGUCCAUUUUGGUUGAGGACAGGUGAACUCACCUGCUGCAUCUCAUGGUGCUUAAACCGGAUUGGUGUGUCUACAGUUAAGCACUCUUGGGUUUGUCAGGAAGAAAACAGUGCACAAGUAAUAAAAUAAAAUAUAAUGCUAUGGGUUACUUUAAAAUAAAAUAAUAUAAAUUCAAGUUAAAAAAUAUUUAAAAGGAAAGAAUGAACUGCACCAGUCAACAGGAAGUGACAAAAGUGACGAGUGAAAGUGACGUGUGCAGUGAGGAGGAAAGUGACGUGUGCAGUGAGGAGGAAAGUGACCGGUGGGAUGUCAGAGUCAGUCAGCGGGGGGUCCGGGCCCGUCUGCCGACGGGAAGGAACUGUUGGUGUGGCGGGGGGUCUUGGUCCUGAUGGACCUCAGCCUCCUGCCAGAUGGAAACGAAGCGCACCGAAGCACCGUGGCGCCAUCUUGAGAAAAAGUGUGCACCUGCAGGUCGUGUUUAACCCAUUGGCUCAUGGGUUUGGUCAUUUGAUUAUCAGUGCUUUGGAAUUGCAAGGAAGUGACUUCUUGAUGUACUUCUGUGUGUGAUGCCCAGACGUGUGUGCACUAUGCCUAAGAAAUAAAAUACCUGACAAAACAUUAUUUAAGUUGCUUCAUUAUUACACAGGUCAGUUUAGCUUUACCAAAACGAGAAAAUACAGCACAGUAAGCAAUAACACACAGCACAAUAGCACAGUAAACACCACAGUACCAGUAAUACUUAUUCCACUAUCCAUAAGUCACAAGAACAUUUUUUAAUUUUUACACCGGGAGUUUUAACUAACGUUAGCUCGUCAGCUACGUGCUAACGCCGUGUAUAGUGUUAGCUAGCUAGUUAGCCACGUGCUAACGCCAUGUAUAGUGUUAGCUAGCUAGUUAGCCACGUGCUAACGCCAUGUAUAGUGUUAGCUAGCUAGUCAGCUACGUGCUAACGCCGUGUAUAGUGUUAGCUAGCUAGUUAGCCACGUGCUAACGCCAUGUAUAGUGUUAUCUAGCUAGUUAGCUACGAUGCUAACGCCGUGUAUAGUGUUAGCUAGCUAGUUAGCCACGUGCUAACGCCGUAUAUAGUUUUAGCUAGGUAGUUAGCUACGCGCUAAGGCCGUAUAUACGCUUUUCAGAAUGUAAACGUCGACUGGAACACUGCCGCCGUCUGCUCCCACCUCACUCGCCUCCCUCCCUAACGGCGAGCCCCCUCCCCCCAGCGCCAACCCUAGCCGAACGAUUAAUUGCCCACAAAAGCAAACACUUUCUCUGGGGGCUAAUAUUUUCGCCCAGUCAUCUUUAAAAAUCGGAAUGACUUACCUUAACGUUACCAAAAUGCCGUGGGUGUGAUAUUUUUCACAACGUCUUCUGCAGUGGAAGAUUGAGGUGGAAAUAAGUUUCCGCCAGAACUUUUAAAGAAUGCGCAUGCGCGAAUCACUCAAUCUAAUAAAAAUGCUUUGAUUAAAAUAAAAAAAAUCAGUUUGGUGCCUUGCUGUCAGUUUACAUUGUAGUAAAGUAAAAAAUUCGAUUAAACCCUAACCCAUAAAUAAAAAAGUUUAGUUUAAUAGAGCAAAGUAUUUUUUUUUUUUCAUUGGAAUGAAAAAACACAUAUUAAAUGAACAACAGCUUACGCUUUUUUCAGUGUGUGUAUUGUUUUGCAUUAGUGGUGCAAAUCUGGGCCGAGUUUCGCUCCUCGAGUGCACGGUUUGGAUAAUUGUGUGAUUUUAAGCUACAUUCAAACGUGAAAAAACUGUAAGAGCUGCUGAAGGAUUUGAACACUUUGGCCCUUUGGCUCCACCUCGUGCUUCGGCAUCUCCUCACGGGCGCGCGGAUCCGCACGGACGCGCAGUGCCGAGCGCAAACCACCUGGUGGCGGAAGAGCACAAGAAUGAAACUGCAUGACGUCCAAGUAUUCCAUCACACUUUUCUCUGGUGCAAAACCACUCACCCAGUUUGCAAAACUAAAAGCACAAACACUGCUUUGCAGUCAGUUUGUAAUUAAACACUUUGCAAAACUGUCGGUGCAAUCCACUGCCUGUCAACACACUGCUAGCAGAACUACACACACACGUGUGGCUGUUGUUUACACCAUUUGGCCAACUGUCUGGCACACUGUCACGUGUGAAAACUGCUUUAGACAAUAAGUUCACUUUGCCAUCAGCCUGAGCACCAUGAAUAAGCCACCGGUGAGCAUGCGGAGUAGAAUGGGGGGAGCAGGAAGAGGAGGCCGAAGGACGAGGAGGCGAGAGGACGCCAUAUAACGCUGCACACAUCAUUACAUCCUUACAUGACGAGCUCACUAAUGUUCAGAGACCAGAGCACCGCACGUCCACCAUCAUAUGGAACAACUGGCUUACAGAUCACUCUCCACUGUACUCAACCCUCCUGCUUUGCAUUCUUGAACCCACCCGGUGCACAGAAAAUAUGCAAUUACUUUAAAAAAAAGAGCCACAGUGUGUGUGCGUGUGUGUGUGUGCGUGUGUGUGCGUGUGUGGUUCAUUGAGUCCAGGUUCACUUUGGUUCCUUCUGCAGAAACCAUACAAGCCCUCACUUGUGAGCAGGUCACGUUCAUUAAACGGGUUUCUCCGUGAAUGCUUUCACUGCGGCUCUCGGCAACGUGUUGGACUUUAGUGCUCCUCUGCUUGACGCGCGUGUGUGUGUCUGUGUGUUUCACUUAGUGGACUUAUACUUGCAUUGCGUUACCACUGGACCCCUCAGCGUAGAAAGGCCCAAGGUAACGGUUGCCCUCCCCCACCCUGUUCAAUGUGUUUCAUCUGUUGAGACUGUCUGUCUGUGACAGGGUGCUGCGCUGAUGUUUGACUGAGAUAAAGGCAGAAAGCACCUGGCACCGUCGCCUCGAGCUGCUCAGGAAUAAAAAGGGAAUUCCCACCACUUCCCGACGGCUGCUGCCGCACUCGUCUUCAGGACAUCAUCGAGAAGGCAAAGAAUUAACGGUUUUAUUUUGUAUUAAUUCAAUAUGACCGAACUAUUACGUCACCAUUCCUGUAUGUUUUGUGUUUUUAUUUUUAGGUGUUACACCGUGGAAGAGGAAGUAUUCUGAUCUUUGAAAAUAAUUAAAUGUACUCCAUUACAAAUAAAACUCAGCAGAAUACAUUUGUAAAAGACUUUGCAGAAUUUGCAGAAACAUCAACUGAAAUAGCAACCAUCAUAUUCAUGCCGGUUUAUAGACUGUAGAUAAAAAGUGGAGCUAGUUGUCGCUUAGAGAAGCGUCAUUUCUCAUAGAUUCUAAGGGAGCAGAGGCGUCGCCCCCUGCUGGUCACUACAGAGAAUGCAGCUUUAAGACAUGAAAUCUCCCUCUGACAUGAGGCAAAGUAGAAGCUUUAAAGCUGAGGUAGGUCAUUAUAUUAAGGUUAUUUAUUGUUUCAUUGUGUACUGGUUUGUGUCUUUAGCGCAGAUCAUUUAAAAAUACAGCAAACUCAUAGUUUCUCAACAUGACCAAUUUAAACUUUAAGGAUCACGAAAAGGAAAUAAGUUCAACCGCAAAGAGCCCGAAGAACUUGACCUGCUGAAGGAAAUAGAUGAAUCACUUUGGGGGAUUUUUUCUAGAUCUGUUUCCUCUCUUUUAUCCUGCUUAAAAAAUGGAAAGUUUGUAAUGAUUGAAAGGAUCUUCAACCCCUCCGCAAAAAAGCAGCGUUCAUAUUUGAAUAAAUGAGGUAAACAUUAACCUGAACAAUGAACCCGGGGGAACUUCCCCAGGGAGCCUCGUGAUGGACUUCUGCUCGUUGGCGUCAACUCACAAACUCGCUCCUGUGAGGGAAGGAGAGCGCAAUGACAGAGCGCAUGCUGCCCGGCCCUCGCCCGCCCUCGCCCUCCCUCGCCCACCCUCGCUCGCUGUUUGCCGUUUAUUGAGCGGGGCAGCUGUGUAAGCACGCUGCACAGCUUCUUUUUCUUCUCUUUAAAAAGUGAUUUUUUUCAGGCCGUCCGAGCUGUGAAAGCUGGGUCCUCUGCACAGCACACGUCUCCCUACUGACACGCAACAAACACGCCUGUGUGUGCUCUGUGUGCGUGUGUGAGACAAGGGGAGAGAGAGAGAGUGUCAGUAAGUGAAAGGUGAAAUUGAAGCUGUAACCCCCCCGGAGAAGAUUUAUUUGCUCUGCAGGUCAAGGCCUGUUUUUUGGGCCCUUUAAGGCUCGGCGUGUACACACAGGUCAAGAUGGAGGAGCGGCGCAGCCUGGCAAGCACGCACACACACACACACACACACACACACACACACACACACACACACACACACACACACACACAACCUUCCUGCCACAAUCCUUCCCCUUUCAGCCCAACCAACCCCCUACCAUCCCCUCUGUACCGGACUAUCUGCUACUGCUACGACGACAUUCCUUCAUUCACUGCAGCGUUUGGCCUUAAUGGCAGAUUUGCAUAACACACACACACACACACACUUGUCGGACGGGGAGCUUGAAGCAGGAGCCAGGAAGAAGAAACACUCAACACAUAAGUGGAGGUCGUGACCUCUGGGUCACAGCUGCAGACCCGUUGGUUUCAGUCGUGUUUCGAGUCACCUGAGGUCGUCGGUCCAAUAUUCAUUCUCUUUUUGCUCCGUUUCUGGUCUCCAUCAGCUCCUAUAAGGUGGUGAGACUGAUGUGAAACACUAAAGUUCUAUAUUUAAUGAAAAUAAAAAAGUUUCACUAUGAUUGUCCAGUUUCUCUUUACAAAUCUCUCUCUUAAUGUCACGUUUGAAUCAGUCAGACUUUUGAUAAAUUGAACCUCAAGUUGAGACCACUGCUUGAAGCUAUGUUUUUAUUUUGACUGCCAUUAUCAAAAUUCUUGGUUUAAUUGCCGCUUUUGCAUGGAGCCGUAAACCCCCCAGGCCCCAACAGCAGUGGAGGUCUAUAAAAACAAAGGCAGCUUGUCUAUGGGUUUAAGGUUUAUGGUGCCUUGUCGAAUGGUAACCUGUUGCCAAGCUGAUUAUGAAACAAACUGCUUCAGGGAAAAUUCCAGGUGCUGAGUUAUAUCAUCAGUCAGCGCUUUCCUGAAGUAAUUUUAUAACUGUAUUGAUUGUACAAUUGAGUUAACCCCAAUCUCUGAAUACGUGCGUAACGAAAUAGAUAGUUUGCCCUUUUUUUCAUGAACUAGAAUCAAACGCAGGUGCAUAUUAAAGCAUGUUCUGAGGUGGAAACUGUAUGUUAGUGCAUGUUAGCGUGCAUGUUAGCAUGUUAGUGUAACCCCCCUCCAGCUAUCACUUUAGAGAAAGUGCAGAAUGGACAGAAUAUAGGGGAAUAUUCGUGUCUGUUAGCGUAUGUUAGUUUAAGUUAGCUUGACUGUUAGUUUAUGUUAGUUCAAGUUAGCGUAUCUGUAAGCUUAUGUUAGUUCAAGUUAGCGUAUCUGUUAGCUUAUGUUAGUUCAAGUUAGCGUGUCUGUUAGCUUAUGUUAGUUCAAGUUAGUGUGUCUGUUAGUGUAUGUCAGUGUAUGUUAGCGUGUCUGUUAGCGUAUGUUAGUUCAAGUUAGUGUGUCUGUUAGCGUAUGUUAGUUCAAGUUAGUGUGUCUGUUACCGUAUGUCAGUGUAUGUUAGUGUGUCUGUUAGCGUAUGUCAGUGUAUGUUAGUGUGUCUGUUAGCGUAUGUUAGUUCAAGUUAGCGUGUGUGUUAGUGUAUGUCAGUAAAUGUUAGUGUGUCUGUUAGCGUAUGUUAGUUCAAGUUAGCGUGUGUGUUAGUGUAUGUCAGU